UACGGAGGGGGCUAGCGUUGUUCGGAAUUACUGGGCGUAAAGCGCGCGUAGGCGGACCUGCAAGUCGGGGGUGAAAGCCCGAGGCUCAACCUCGGAACUGCCUUCGAUACUGCGGGUCUCGAGUCCGGGAGAGGUGAGUGGAAUUCCUAGUGUAGAGGUGAAAUUCGUAGAUAUUAGGAAAGAACACCAGUGGCGAAGGCGGCUCUUUGGCCUGUAACUGACGCUGAGGCGCGAAAGCGUGGGG
rnacentral:rRNA from 1 species